rnacentral:tRNA from 1 species
GGAGGGGUGACAGAGAGGCUUAUUGUACUGGUCUUGAAAACCAGAGGUGGUAAAACAUCCGCGGGUUCGAAUCCCGCUCCCUCCUCCA